AGAGUACAGUUGGGCUUUAGUUGUGUUGCGCGAAGGUUGUUGUGGCGAGCGCUCCGUUGUACCCAAUUAUAUACCUUCAUUUCUUUCUGUUGUGUGAGUUUACCUAGUACGAUCUGCCUUCGAGUAUCUCAUUUAUGUAAGGUGUAUGAGGAUACAGCGGGUGUCAUUGUGCGGGAAUGUGUUUACAGUGAGUGCAAGGAGUUAGUAGUAGUAGUAGAAGUCUGGUUCGAAAGCCCGAGUCUUGGGCGAGAGAAGAAUUACCAGACGGACAUUUCUCGGUGGAGAACCCUGUCGUUUUCCACAAUUCAUGGAUCUUUCAUACGUGUUCCUGGAGUUCUGCCCUCGCCUCUGACAGCCACCGCGUCAGGAGAGGUAGAAAGGCGAGUGGAGAGGGCGAGGGCGAAGACAAGAAGCCGCGCGCGGCUGUGUAGAGGACGUGACCCCUGAAGAGCCACCGUCAGGAGCACUUGCUUUUCCCUCCUCCCGUCAUACUCGGAUGCAGGUGGUGUCAGAGGUGAUGGUGUUAACUGGGCGAAGAAGGUGCAACCAUUAUUCAUUUUCUUUGAUUAUGGUUGGCACAUUUCAAGAAAAGAUGGAGCCGUAAGCUGUGAGAGAUGCUGAGGACUGUAUCUCCUGCAUGCAUCCCAUGGGUGUGAUCACAUGCACGGUCCCCAUGAACCCUUCCGGCGAUGUCAUUUACACACACAAGAAGUUCAAGCGGGCCACAUCUGAGGCCUGUGACAAUGCAGAACAACAGCAGCAAAACGAAAGGGGUAAAAAGGGUGGGACAGAGGUUACCUCUGCAGGUGCCAGGACCCCCUCUACCACACCUCAAGCCUCUCCAGCAGGUGCCAGGCCCACCACUGCAGCACCUCAGUUUACUCCAACACUUGUCAAUGGACAUGUUACAGCUCAUACAGUUGCUAGUGUAACUGGAAGUGUUGUUAAUCAGUUAUCAGUAGAGAAUGAUGAUAACAAAAGAAAAGUCAGUAAUAGUAGUGGUGGAAAGUACAAAUGUGAAUAUUGUGGAGUUGGAUGUGCCAAACCUUCUGUGCUUGAUAAGCACAAACGCACACACACCAAUGAGAGACCAUAUACCUGUGAACAGUGUAGUCUUGCUUUCAAAACUAAAAGCAAUUAUAAGAAGCACACUAGAUCUCGAACCCAUGUUCAGAAGUGUGAUGGUGUAGCUCUUGAUAAUAGUGAUGGAACUAUAGAGUCUAGUGAUAAUGUUGAUGGUGAUGUAGAAGAUGGCCCUAAGUCAGCUAAUAAAGAGGGGAGAGCUCAGCAGCUACAACCAGCUGAUCUCUCUGUAUCAAGAACCUCUAUAAGGGACCAGCUCCAAGACCUUCCAUCUGCUUCUGUGAGUACCCAUCAUGAUGAGUUGGGAACUCUUGAUCGAGGCAAAUCUUUGUACAAGCCAAAAUUUCAUAUUUCUGCUCAUUAUGCACACAGGGAGGAAAGAGGCCCUAAGGGCCAAACACCUCCACCAGCAAGACAACAGCCAACUCCACCUCAGGAUGCUCAUCAACUUGACCAUACUGCUAUCAAUCCUUCAACAUAUCAACCCCAUACUGCCUCCACCCAUGGCCAACCCAACCAGGUUGCACCCUCUAACCCUAGUCGUCACUCUCCAAGUCCAGCCAAUGUCUCAAAGCAAGGCCUACCGCCACUCGAUAUAUGGGCUGCAAAUAAAAAGGACGAAGGUGUACUGACUGGUCAAAGAAAUUCAGUAGGAACACCACAAAGUGCAAAUUCUAUUUGGAAAGGAAUUAAGUCUCCAAGUCCAGAAUUAGUUGGGCAACACAUCACUAAGUUGAUUGUGGAAAACCAGGCCAUUGUGGAUACUCACAAUCCACUGUGGUCUAGACGUUACAGAAGGCAGCCCAGUAUAGGCUCAUCAUCAAGUGAGAGUGAUGGCUCUGGCACAAGCAAAAGCCGCCGGUCUAGUCUUGCUGAUUUGACUAUUAAGAAUUCCAAGGCACCAGCUGUUGGCUCUUCAUCAACGGCUCCUUCACCUGCUGGUCUAGGCCCACUACAACAACAAUAUUCAAGAGAGAGAAGUCAUUCCGUCACUGCUGAGGCAAUAAUGGCUGAGUCAAGGUCUUCUUACAGCCCCAGUCUUCCACCCACCCCACACCUGCCUCUUGCUCAGCCUCCAGUCACCCCCAUCAGUGCUUCCAAACCUUCCAUAUCAUCACAAGGACAUACUACCUCUUACUCUCAGUCUGCUCCAGCCUUCACUACCUCUACAAUGGGCAUGAUGGACCUAACCAUGGUGGAGGGAUCACGCAAGAGGAGGAGUUCUGAGGGUCCCUCUGUGGUCAGAGAUAUACACAAGAGUCGGGUGACUCAUGUGGAUGAUCCAGCUAUUUUGCGUCAGCAUCCACAGAAUCCUGAAGGUUCAGUUAUAAAGAGUCUUCUCUUGCACUCUAGAGCUGCCAUUGCAGGUACUAUUGAUCAGAAACUGGAGAGGCUGGAAUGUGAAAGGCUAAACCAGCCAACAGAAGGACAUUACCCAUGCUCCAGAUGUGGCGUGCCUUGCCGCAGUCCAGAGAGUUUGGAGGUUCACCUUCGACAUUAUUGCGGACAGCGACUUGGGGGGACUGGAAGUGAGAGGGGCACACCAGAUUCUGUUAAGAGUGGAGAUGGGGGAAGAUGGCCCAGUGAACAAGAUGUAGCUUUAGAUUUGCAGAAAAAACCUGACCGAACUGAUCACUUUGAGAGAGAGAGAUCACUGUCAAGGGGAUCAUCAGUUGGAGAGUCAUCGCAGCGCCGAGGGUCAGAGGAAGAAAAUAGAUAUAGACCAGAAUUAUCUCCAAGGAUAUAUAGAAGUGAAUCUGUACCUGAAGGAGCAUCACCACCAACCAAAAAAAGAAAAAUGUCUGACAUUGAUUCAUCAUCUCAAGACAGGUCAAUGUUUCUCCCACCAAUUUUUUCCCCUCGUGGACAAGGGGCAUGUAAAGGGGAUGCAGGAAUGAAAAUUUUAGAAGAUAUGAAUAAACAAAAGACAAGCAAUCUCCAGCUUUUUGGUGGUGAGGUUCAGAUUUGUGAUGGCAAUGAACGAAAAACAAUGAGAAUAGACCCUAGCCAGCCACCGAGCCCUGCUAUUGACAUCUGCAUUCCCCCACAACAAUUAGGAGGUAACAUACCAAAGGCAGAGGUGUCACUUCCUACUUCAGUUGUGGUAACAAUUGCAAAAUCAGGCUUAAAUUCAGGGGGCACAAUGGUUCAAGUGGAGAGUCAGAUAAGUACUUCCUCAACCAAAACAGUACCGAGUCUUGUAAGCUCCUCCAUAUCACGUGAACAGCCAAGUGUUCCAACACAGACUCAAAGUAACUCAAAAGCACCGCUUUCCACCAUUGUAUAUAAUGAUGCUUCAAAGUUUGCUUUUUCUCCUUUUUUACCCUAUGCACCUCUACUACAACUACCAAACCUAGCUAUUCCAGGAAUUCCCACACCUGAUUUGGGUAGUUUAUCUUUCCCAACCUAUCCAGCUUCUGGCCCGGUACAGUCUUUUCUCUCAGCUAAAAAUUCACCAGCCCAGGGAAUGGUUGGGAAACAGAAAGUCAACACCAUUCAUUCACCUGCAGCUCCAUCUCCAUGCAAAAUGUCUCCAGGAGCAGGAUUGGCUGCAUCUGGACAGCUUCCUUCUGGAAAUAUAGGAAAUCCCCUUGGAAAUCAGCAAGUACAGGUUAUUAGAGAGAAAGAGAAAGAGCAGUUUAAAGGCAGUAGCAAAUCACCUGCUACAUAUCCUGCUCUCAUACCAAUGGGUGACGAAAAAGUACCUUAUGUACCGGGGAUUCCUGGACCAUAUUCCCAGGCAGGCAUGGUAGUUCAGCCUCCCCUGCACAGAAUACAGAAAAAUCCUUCUGUGUUUGCACCCCCAAUAACUGCCUCAUCCUUUAGUCCCAUGGCACAAGCUCCAAUAACCUCCUUGUCACAACCUCCAGCCUUAAUGAGCCCCUCCAGGGAGAAGGGUCUCCAACCUCCAAGAUCCAAAGACUUUCCACGCAGUCCAGUGAGGGAACACCAGUCCUUUCAUGUGACAAAAGUCCCAUCUAGACAGUCCCCACAGUUACCACCAAAAGAAAUACAAAUAAGCAGAGGGAAAGCAUCAGUAAGUGUUUCCUUUAAAUCCUCUGAACGAAAUAUGACUCCUGAUAUCAGACUCCCAGGAGGAUCAGAGACAAAUGCUUUUGAUAAGAAGGCUACAGAGAAAUCCUCAGUGGCACAUGAUGAAUCAAGAAAUGACACAGCAGGAAGAGAGGAAACAAAGGAUUGUGAGGAAUUCCUGCCACCAAGAAAACGUCCAAACUCACUGGCUUUAAAACCACAGCCUUAUGUACCUAACUCCUCGCUUGCUUUGAUUGGCACAACUUUGGUAAGUCCGGAUACACCUCGGCCCAAGAAAAGUUGUGUGCAGAUGUUUUUGAAUGGAUCAGCAUAUACUUAUCUAGGGCACAAGGUUUCCACAAAGUCUUAUUUUUGCUGCAUAUCUAGGCAACAACCCAUGUAUGUACCUCAGUCCACUGAUCCUAAGCUUUCCAUGUAUUCCAACUGGCAGUUACGUAAACCAGCAGAGGACAAUCCUUUAAAUCUUACACCGUAUCAACACAUGAGCUUAUACACCUCUCGAAAAGUUGACCAAACAUACUCUGUAGCCAAACCAAGAGAACUAAAUCUCAUUCAGACACACUCUUCAUACUGGACAUUUAAGGAAGAGAAAGAAAAAAAUAAAGCUAAGGAAGACAAACAUAAAGAAAAAGACCCAAAGGUAGUGAAGAAUGAAGACCCAGUGACAAGGACAAGUGAACCAAGUUCCAGUGAAGACAACAGACCAGCAAUAAAACGUGAACCAGAGGAGGAAUGUGCUGAACCCUCCAGCAAGAGUAAUGAUGAUGCUGAGACCUCAGACAGCAGCACAGUCAAACGCAUCAAAAUAUUUGAGGGAGGAUUUAAAAGCUCUGAAGAUUAUACAUAUGUCAGAGGCCGUGGUCGAGGGAGAUAUGUUUGUGGAGUAUGUGAGAUUCGUUGUAAAAAGCCUUCUAUGUUAAAAAAGCAUAUACGUACUCACACAGAUCUUCGCCCUUAUGCAUGCAGCCACUGCACAUUCAGUUUUAAAACCAAGGGCAACCUGACCAAACAUCUAAGGUCUAAGGCUCAUUAUAAACGGUGUAUGGAGAUGGGCAUUGUGCCUGUCCCAACUGUGGUUGAUGAGAGCCAUGUCAAUGAAGAGGCUUUGGCAAUGCAGGGCAAGAUGGAACAAGAGCAAGAAAGAGUUUUAGAAGGUGGUGAUGAUGAUGAUGAUGAUGACGAAGAGGAAGAAGAGGAUGAGGAAGAUGAUGGUGAUGAAGAUGACGAAGAUGAUGAUGACGCAUUAGAACAUGACCAGUUUGAAGAUGCAGAUAAAAUGGAUAUAGAUGAGAGUUGUACUAAGAGUGAGGCUGAGUUGAAAAGGGAGGUAAGAGAGAGCAAAGAAAACAUGGGCUUGAUUGGAAAUGCUUCAAGAUCUGGAGUAUUAGUCAUGGCCAUCUCAUCUUGUUCAAGCUCUUCCAGUCCAAUCUGUGCUCACAGCUCAAAAGACGCCAAGUCUCAAAAACUGAAUGAUAAUGCUGAAUCCCUUAGAGAUUCUCCCAUGGAUUUGAGUGUAAGGAAGACAGCUGUGCUUAAUCUCUCUCCGUCUCAGGAUAAAAACUUGGCCAUGAAAAAGCCUCCAGUCCCACGCAGACCAAGCUUUCUCCCACUGAUGGCCAAAUCUUCUGUGACUGACCUCAGAUCUCCAGUAGCAAAUCUGACAUCACCUGGCACGCCUACAACCCCUAUUAGAGAGCACCCUUCUGAAAUCUUAUCACCAGUUACUGAAUCAUCAACUCUCCUGAAGAGUAUAUACAAUACAACAUCAAGAGCAACUCAUGUAUCAAACAGGGAGAAGUUAGACAUUGUAAUUGAUCCAAGUAAAGAAAAUGGUUGCAACAAUUCAAUGCUGCAAGCAUACAUUAAGGAGUGUGCAGUUUUGGACACAACCAUCAAGAGACAGCAGUACAAAGACUCAUCAUCAGAUACAUCACCAGAUUCACCUCGCAACAGUCUAAUCCCAAACCAUUCUGUAAUAUCCGUAUCAACUGCAGGGGCAGAAAAUUCCAAUGAACAGCCCCAGAAACCAGAAAGCAUACAGAAUGAUAGAGGAACAUCACUGGAUGAGAUAAAAAGAGAAGGAAGAACUGAAAAUGAAAGCCUGGGAUUAAACUCUGAACAAAGUUGUACCUCUGAGCUAUCCUCUUCGAGUUGUGCAACAGCUGUCAACAGUACUCCCCAAGCAGCCACUUCACGCAUGCCAACCCCUCCUGCCAAUCUCACAGUCAUGAACAAUGGUGGAAUGGACACCAAGACUGCUUUCCUUGUACCCAGUGGUGUUGUUCCUUCAUCUCUGAACAGACUAGGGAACGAUGAUGGUAAGUGCAGGUGCAGCAUAUGCCACAAGGAAUUUAACCGUCCGUCCCAGCUAACUCUUCAUAUGAACAUUCAUUAUAUGGAGCGGCCUUACCGGUGUGAAUCUUGUGCCAUCUCAUUCAGAACCAAUGGGCAUCUUCAGAAGCAUAAAAGAUCUGUCAGUCAUUUUAAUAAGGUAAAUAGGAACAUGACCUUUGGGACCCCAAGCACAGAUAACCCACGACCUUUCAAGUGUCAUGAUUGCAAAAUUGCAUUCCGCAUUCAUGGUCAUUUAGCUAAACACCUCCGCUCAAAGAUGCACAUUAUGAAGCUAGAGUGUCUUGGAAAACUUCCUUUUGGCACUUAUGCAGAAAUAGAACGGUCUGGUGCUAAUCUUAAUGAAAUAGACACCACAGACUGUGAUAAUUCUUUGGAGAGUUUACAGGUUAUGGCGUCACGGCUCUACGAGAAAGAUCCAAGUAAACUGGCUGCAUGGCAGAACCAACAGCAACACCGUGUCCGCACUGUCAGCAACUCCUCCACUAACUCUGAUGAUUAUCCUUUGCAAGAUGAUCAGGAUGAUUCUUUUGCUGGUUGUGGCAAUGAUGAUGAUACAGAGGGUGAUGAGGAUGAAGAAAUAAACAUGCCUCAGGAUGCUCCGAGACUUGGUGUCCCAGGAUCCAGUGUAGGACAGAUUCCUGCUGAGUUGCACAGUCCACACUCCCAUGGAUACCUCCCAUUGAAAUAGGAUCUGGUGCUACUGCUGGCCUUCUGGCCUGUCAUAUCUGCCAUGAGAAGUUCCUUGACCUGGAGCAUCUUAGUGACCACCUUUACAAUGUCCACAAGGUGUCCGUCACUUACCGCAACAGCUAGCUCAUAUCCUAUUAAGGACACACACAUGUAGACUCUGUGAAGCCAAGUUUCCAAGUCACAGUCAGCUGAUGAGCCACAACCAGCGUCACCAUGUGGCAAGCAAUGGGCCGGAUGUAAAGUCUUCGUAAUAUGCCUCAUCAGAAUCAAGACCUCAUUUCACCAGGGAAUUGGAACAUUGGAAAUCAUCUGGAAAAAUAUAAUAAGAAAAAAGGAAACAAGAAAACCUUGCAUAUGCUUUUCCUAGACUUAGCCCACUGAAGAAUCUGUUGAGUGUGACACUACUUUUACAUCAAGUGAUCAUCUUGGGUCUCAGUUGUGGCACUGACCAAAUUUCCGUGAGAACCUCUGUAUAUGGCACUACUUCAAAGCAGCACAGUGUAUGGGAGAUGGUCAAAUGUGUUACCAUUGGGGCACAUGUCUGACCUUAACUCCUUGGUGCUACCCAAAGAAUGAAGCACUUCGGAUACAUGCCUUAUAGCACUAAACCACAGUUUUCAUAUCCAGAGAUCAAAUAUCCAUGACACUUUGUGGCUUAUGUAAUCCAGAUAUGAAACUUAUUAAAGACAGAUUACAAAAGUUGAUAUUUUCUGUAAUUAAAGUAUUUAUCAGAUUAUAUUUAAAAGUUUAUCAGUGUACAUUGAACAAAGAGGUGUAAUGUUGCAAUGUGAGUACCAAAGGCAGUUUGAAAAUGUAAUGUGACCUAAGUGCAAUGACGUAUUUUGUGGGACAUUCAGAAAGCCAGCAUUUUGAAUACAGGCUUAGAGUGACAUUGAUGAGAACAGUUUUUUAAUGUGAAAUGUUCCUUAGAACCAGUAUGUAUUUUUGAUGUUUCAUAAGCUUUUCUCAAAAAUAAAGGCAAGAAGAUGUGAUCAUCUAAAUUUACUCAAAUGGAAGUGAAAGACUCGACUACAAAGACAGUAACUGGUUUUAGACAGUUGAUAUGAAUUUGCUUAUUGUUUUACUUGUUUAAAUGUGAGUAUAGGAGUGAAUGUGUUUCCCUAAAGCCUAUCACAGUUAAGACUGAUUUGGACUAGGCAUGUGAUAUUGUUAAUUGUGGCUACUGUCACAAGUCACCUACUGAGUAGUAUAUGAAGGAGAUUUUUGAAAUGAUAUUAAAAACCACCUCAUUAUGAGUGGUGGAAGGAUGUUACUCUGCCAAGACAAGUGAUGCUCAAGAGUGUGUGUGUUGGCUCAAGACCAGCCGUGUAUAAUGGCUUUUGUAUCUAGCAUUGUGGGUUGUAAUAGUACUUCCAGUCUGCAUAAAUUCUGCAGCUACUAAUUCUUUUUGUGAAGAUGGGUUGAAGAUAUUAUAUGUAUUUUUAUUGUAUAUUGUUUGUAUUCAAGGAUUUGUAUAGACACUGUGCCAAUAUCACUCACCUUUUGAUUUGAAGGGGGAAGGAAAUGUUUCUAUUUGGUAGCCAAUAGUCAGUUGUCUGCCAUGUGACUUUCCCAUGGGAGCUUAUUAUUGAUAGAUAGAUUUAAAUGUAACUUGUGGCAGCAGAUCUGUCAGUAAGCUUAUAAGCUUCACUGGUAGACCUGCUGGGUUGUUCAGUCUUUUUACUGGCCUGUAUUUUGUUACAGUGUACAGUACAAAACUGUGUAUGGCAUUUUAGUGUUUCCUGGCUGUAUAUUUGACAUUUCUUCUUUCUACUAUGUUAAUUAAAGAGUAUAUUUGAAUAGAAACUGUUAUCACUGUGAAGACUACCUGAUAGCCUUGAAAUUCAACUGAAGUACCAUAACCACACUUUACACUGCUCAAAAAUACAGACUAGACAGUCACUUCCUAACAAGUCUUCAUUGUGGCAAAACCUACCAACAAUCAUUUUAUAGAUAUGCUGACAAAAGCAACAGUUACUGGCUAGAAGACUCAGUCACCAUGCACUUUGCAUUAAAAUCAACAUUUAGGAUGAAUAUUUGAAAAAUCUGGUAAUUAGGUUAUUAGAGAAACUUGUAUUUAACACUGUGGUGACUAAGAUUUCAGCACAACUGAACUUGAGCACAAAUCAACUAGUUGACAAUCCUUUGUAUAGCUAUCUCAGGGGCACUGGUAGGGGUGGGGGCAUCCAGGAUAAGGCAAGACUUUAAUAAUUAGGGAGCUGGUAAAGGGUUAAAUGUAAGGAAAUGUAAGUGACUGGAAAGUUGUGUUUCAUUUAUUUUUCAUUAUUAUUUUUUCUGGUCUUCCCUCUCUGGCUUGGGUUAUUUGUGUGCACUGGAUGAGCACUUGAAGAGGGAGAAUGGAGUAAUUGAUCAAAUGAAUAUACUUCUGUUGGCGA